CAGAACGAGGAAAGAUUUGACUGAUUGCAACCUCCGCUGCCAAAAUGGUUUGGCACAAGAAAAAUGCUAAAGCAGUUCGU
rfam:Muricauda antarctica strain CGMCC 1.12174 genome assembly, contig: Ga0079848_103